rnacentral:piRNA from 1 species
CCCAGAAAUAAGGUCUUGCCAGCUAU